CGCGUAGGCGGCUGUUCAAGUCCGUAGUGGAAGUCCAUUUUUCAAGGGUGGAAGUGCUAUGGAAACUGAGCAGCUUGAGUGCAGGAGAGGUUAUCGGAAUUCCCGGUGUAGCGGUGAAAUGCGUAGAGAUCGGGAGGAACACCAGUGGCGAAGGCGGGUAACUGGACUGCAACUGACGCUGAGGCGCGAAAGUGUGGGGAGCAAACAG
rnacentral:rRNA from 1 species